AUGAAAUGUAAUUAUGUCUAAUUUUAGAAAAUUGUCUGAUUAAAUGUUGUUUUGGACCCCAGGAAGACCAGCUGGUUGUCUAGGCGUCAGCUAAUGGGG